ensembl:lncRNA
AGUGUUUACAGCAUAGCAGAGCAGUCUCAAACCAGAGCUCUUUGCCGGGACUCAUCUUCUGCACAAACUUCUCAGAUGCUCACACACGGGUGCUACUGAGGUAAACACAUAUAAGGAGCUCAACUCACAGAAGAAACAUCAAAACAGAGGAGGAAAACCUGUUUCCUCAGAAUUCACUGUGGAACUGACUAGAAGAAUGUGAUGGUCCUGGUGACCCAUCCCAGAGACCUACCUGGAUAGCUGUGGGAAGGCCGCAAAGGCUUCAAGAGCUGCUGUGUGUUUGGAGACAAUGUACAAUUGUUAAGAUGCAAUACAGAACCGUUGCAUUGACCUGGCACUGUUUGUAUACAGCUGGUAACUGAGAUAGUGUUGAACCAAGACAUGUAAGGUGACAAGACAAUAGUACUUGUUCUGUUCACCUUUAAGUCCCACAAAAGCUGAAAAUACAUUUCCAAGUAUUAUUUCCGCGUGCCUGGCAUGCAAAAAUAUUUAAAGGAGACCUGUGUAUGGAUACACCAAACAAUGCUAUCUAGUUAAGCUGAAGAUCAAUUUCCAACUAAACCUAAAGCUUUCAUGUUAAAUAAAUAUUUCAGUUGCAGUCCCAGUACCUGGGAACAGUUAAGUAGCCUGUGGGGGUCAUGCUGAGCAAUACACUCCUUCUAUUACAAAAUGGCUUAGGUCUGGGAUAGUGCUUGUAACGAGUAAUGUUAGAGAAAGCUUUUUAUCACAGAGUAAAUGAAAGGAGGGUCAGAUUAAGGUAUGAAUAGCUGCAUUAUCCUGUGGGAACACUAAUGAUUCCGUGUCAUUUAAUUACAAGAAAAGCUGUGUAGAAUAACAUAGCAAGAGCAACGCUUUCUGGCAAAGAAAGUGGAUUUAGGAGAUUUUCUCUGGGCACCAUGGGUGCGAGCUCUUUAGAACAGACCAGUGCUUAGGCUGUGAAGGCCAUGUGUCUCCUGGAUCAGACCCCCCUCUUGCAGGUUGUUGUUCUAUCUGUAAAAUCAGUUGUUACCUUGUGGUGACAUAGCUGCGGCAUUCUCUAUUCGACUCAUCUAGUCUGUGUCUCUGGACUGUGUUUUCCAGAACCUAGCAGCAAAUUUCUAGUUACUUACUGUAGAGUGAUGCAGCUUGCUGCAGCACUAAGGAUUUCCUGUGUCAAACUGUGGAUGGGGAAUUGAUGGUAUGAAGGAAGAAACCCCAGGAGAUGGGGCUACUGGCAGGGAACUGGACAUGAAGGAUGAGUGGCUGGCAGGGAGAUUGGUCCUGUCCAUAGAACAGCUUUCAGUGGUUUUGGGAAUAGGAUGGGGCUUCUGUUCUGCCUUCUGUUCAGCAGAGAAGUAGCUUGUUGAAAAGGAUUUCUGUGUGCUUGGGGAUGCUUAAAUGCCUUGAUUUAAGUAAUUGUGCAUCUUACUUGUUAUGUAUGGAUAGGUUUCUAACAUCGUGUUACAAACGUUAUUAUCUUAUGCAACAAUCACAAAUUCAUUAUGCAAGUCAUUGUACAAAAGCUACGUGCCCUUUGUGGCUGUAGCCCUUGAGCAUGUUAGUUUUCUACUAGAAGUUUUCCAUGAGGAAAAUAUUUGCAACCUUAAUUCUGAUGUAAUUGCUUUGCCUGGGAAUUUUAUGGUCAUUAAUUAGGUUAAUAACGAUCAUUUGAACACAAACAUAAUUAAUGCCCCACAGUAUUAAAAUUAAUCAUACAUUUAAAUCUAAAUUAAAUUAAUUAACAGUGAGAGUGAACAAUGGCCACGUUUCUGAUUAUACCAUGUCAAGGCUUCCUGAAGAAAACCCUCACUU